UACAGAGGGGGCAAGCGUUGUUCGGAAUUACUGGGCGUAAAGGGCGCGUAGGCGGCCCGCUAAGUCGCACGUGAAAUCCCCGAGCUCAACUCGGGAACUGCGUCCGAUACUGGCGGGCUUGAAUCCGGGAGAGGGAUGCGGAAUUCCAGGUGUAGCGGUGAAAUGCGUAGAUAUCUGGAGGAACACCGGUGGCGAAGGCGGCAUCCUGGACCGGCAUUGACGCUGAGGCGCGAAAGCUAGGGGAGCAAACGGG
rnacentral:rRNA from 1 species